GUACACGCUGUGACUAGCAUAUCAAUAAGCGGAGGAAAAGAAACUAACAAGGAUUCCCCUAGUAACGGCGAGUGAAGCGGGAAGAGCUCAAAUUUGAAAUCUUAAAGGGUUUCCCUUUACGAAUUGUAGUUUAAAGAAGUGUUUUCUGUUGAGGUUUUGGUAAAAGUUCUUUGGAAUAGGACAUCAUAGAGGGUGAGAAUCCCGUAUUUGACCUUUACUUUCAACUUUGUGAUACACUUUCAAAGAGUCGGAUUGUUUGGGAAUGCAGUCCAAAAUGGGUGGUAAAUUUCAUCUAAAGCUAAAUAUUGGCGAGAGACCGAUAGUGAACAAGUACCGUGAGGGAAAGAUGAAAAGAACUUUGAAAAGAGAGUUAAACAGUACGUGAAAUUGUCAAAAGGGAAGCGUUUGACACCAGUGUUGUUUUUCUGAAAAUCAAUUAAAGAACUGUUUAUGCUAAGCUGUUUAGACUUUAUCAGCUAUCUGUUUAGUUUUGAGCUUUUCUUUAAUGCACUUUUCAGUUAACAAGUCAACAUCAAUUUCUUUUGCUGUAAAAAAGCUUGAGGAAGGUGGCUUGAGAUUCGUCUUAAGUGUUUAUAGCCUCUUGCCUAUGCAGUCGGAGAGAUUGAGGUCUGCAGCGUAGAUCCUUCGGGGCUAAAUGCAUUUGUGCUAAGUUAUAGCAUUUUAUAGACAACUUGUUGACUAUGAUUUGUCUUGUAGCUUACUCGCUUAUGUUAUUUUACCUACGCUUAGGAUGUUGACGCGCGUGUGUGCGUG
rnacentral:rRNA from 1 species